GUGGGAGGGGGCUUGCUCCCGAUGGCAGUGUGACAGUCAACUCAUCUGUAGUUGAGACACCGCCAUCGGGAGCAAGCCCCCUCCCAC
rnacentral:misc_RNA from 1 species